rnacentral:rRNA from 1 species
AUGGAGCAGGACAUACCCGCCUUCAAGCCGCAAUGGCUGAUGCAGGGCCAGGUCACGGCCACUGGUGCCGCGACCCUCUGGGCCGCAGCUUCGUCACGCAAAGUAGAUUGUCAAGGUAAGGGUGGUUCAUCAAGAAAUCGCUCAUCUGGGCACAACCGUGACCAGAGUUCCCGGCAGUCUUCAUCACGGAGGAGUUCAGUCUCAAGUGGAUCCCGGAGGCUUGACCGGGAUGACAUGGGGAAGACAAGGGGCUAUGCAAAUUUUGGAAGGAACAAGGAUAAGGAGAGGGAGAAGGAUUUUGAUUCCCGUGAUAGGGAGAGUAGGUCCGUUACAGCAGAUCGUGAUGGCUUUCAAUCAUUUAGCUCAUGUAGACCUGAAAGGGAUAGGUUAAAUCGUGCUCGCUCAAAGGUAGACACAUCAAGUAAGGGAGUAAUUAGUCUAAAUAAUGGUAGUACAUCUAAAAGCAAUACUGUUGGCGUUGCCUUUGAGCGAGAAUUCCCACAGCUUAGUUCCGAGGACAAGAAUGUUAGGCAAGACAUUAGCAGAGUCCCAUCUCCUGGUAUCACCACCCCAAUUCAGAGCCUGCCUCCAUUUACUCCAUCUGAUGGCUGGACUUCCAAGCUAGUAGGUGCUCCUCUAUCAAGUGAGCCAAAGAAAAAUCUUGUUGCCUCUUCUGUACCACAAGCCGCUCCUAGUAAAAAGCCUGAAGUAGCACUGAACAGUGGAACUGCAUUAAGCAUGGCAGAGACUGUUAUGCAAGCUCCUCAGAGAACUUCGUCUGGACCUCAGUUAUCAAUUGAUGCUCAGAAGAUUGAAGAAAGAACUUUGAGACAAAACACUCUAAGACCCAUGACUUCUACAACAAGCAAAUCUUCUAUUAUUCAGGUAACAAGCUCUUCCAAAUCAAAAGGAACACGGAUUGGAGAUCUUGCUGGUACUAGUAAGGCCAUACAACAAUCAUUAGCACUUCCCGCCAAUGGUUCUGUUCGAGCUCCAGCCAAGACCGAGCUUUCAAAGCUUACGCUUUCAGGAAGCUUUAAAAUCCUCAGCCGAGAGCAAAAUUGUACUGCACAGACUCCUAAAGACUCUCCAGGCAAUCCUGCGAGUCCUCCAGCUCGUGUGGCUUCCACGGAACCACAGAAGAAGCCUCCUCUCAGCCAAAAGCCCAAGGUUUCCACACAUGAUCUUCCUCUAGUGCAAGGUUCAUCUGGUGGUGUUAGCAAAUCAAGAUUAAAGUUCUUCCAGUCGUUGCGAACCAAAUCUAAUGGUUCAAGUUCAGCCGUUGAGUCAGGUUGUGAGCCAUCUCCAUCCAGCGGAGUUGAUGCGAAGCAUGAUUCUUGUCUUAAUUCUGGAAUGAAAUGCAUGGGGAAUGGAAAGUGUUUCUGUGAAGAAGCAAAUUCUUCCGAGGGAUCUCAGCGGCACCAUUCAGACAAUGAAGAGAACAAUUCAUCCUUGCAGUCUGUUGACAUGGCAGCUGGGGGAUCUCAGCAGCUUGUUGUAGAAAACCUGGAGUCUGACUCCUCAUCUGAACUUGCUGACACAGGAGAUGAAGGAUUCCAGGUAUCCGGCUCAGACAAUGCAGAUGGUAGCUCCUCCUCAGCGCUUGCAGAUUCAGAUGAUGGGUACAAGAACUCACAGUCUGGCAAUGAGGAAGCUAGUUCAUCGUCAGAGGCUACUGAACCAGAAGAUGAGGAGUAUCCAGCUGAAGCCAUAUUUACUGCAGAAGAUCUGGCUUUCAUGAUAUCCCUUGGCUGGAGUAAAGAUGAAAAGGUGCAACCUUUGGGUUUGGAAGAAAUUGCUGACUAUGUGAGGCGCCAUAAGGGGCUGGAGCAGAGGCUUUUCUCCAUGGAAGCCAACGCCGACAUCAAGAUAAUUCUCCUUUAUCUUUGCGGUCAGAGCUAA